UACGUAGGGGGCAAGCGUUGUCCGGAUUUAUUGGGCGUAAAGAGCGUGUAGGCGGCCAGACAAGUCUGCUGUGAAAACUCGAGGCUCAACCUCGAGCUGUCGGUGGAAACUGUCUGGCUAGAGUCCGGAAGAGGAGAGUGGAAUUCCUGAUGUAGCGGUGAAAUGCGCAGAUAUCAGGAAGAACACCUAUGGCGAAGGCAGCUCUCUGGGACGGUACUGACGCUGAGACGCGAAAGCGUGGGGAGCGAACAGG
rnacentral:rRNA from 1 species